rnacentral:rRNA from 1 species
AUUAUAACAAAGAAGUAACACAGUAAUAAGGUUGCCUUAUUUAGUGUGUAUCAAUCGAGUUUCUGACCUAUCAGCUUUUGAUGUUAGGGUAUUGGCCUAACAUGGCUAUGACGGGUAACGGGGAAUUAGAGUUCGAUUCCGGAGAGGGAGCCUGAGAAAUAGCUACCACAUCUAAGGAAGGCAGCAGGCGCGUAAAUUACCCAAUUCUAAAGAAGAGAGGUAGUGACAAGAAAUAACAAUACAAGGCCAUUUCAUGGUUUUGUAAUUGGAAUGAUGGGAAUUUAAAAUCUUCCCAAAAUUCAAUUGGAGGGCAAGUCUGGUGCCAGCAGCCGCGGUAAUUCCAGCUCCAAUAGCGUAUAUAAAAUUGUUGCAGUUAAAACGCUCGUAGUUGAAUUUCAAAGAAUCAAUAUUUUAAGUAAUACUUUUGCUAUAAGAUGCUUAGACAAUACAACGUAUCUGUUCUUUGCAUUCCUUAUGCAAAAUGUGUUCUUAUUAUAAAAAGGAUUCUUUUUAAAAUCUCUUUUGCUAUUUUUUAGUAUUAGAGAUUUUGUUACUUUGAGUAAAUUAGAGUGUUCAAAGCAAACAGUUAAAGCAUUUU